rnacentral:misc_RNA from 1 species
GGGAUUGAUGCUGCAUGAAAACAAACAUCAUAAAUUAAAAUGGUAUUACACAAGAUGACUACAGAACAGAAAUUCAACAACUAAAAGAUACUAUGACCUUGAAGCACCUAAAAGUGAUUCAACUGUACAAUAAACCUCCACCAAAACACAAAUAUACAAAGUUCUUCUGAAGCCACUGUAGGUCAACCUCAUCUUUCAGUUUUUAACACCUAAGCUGUUGCAAUUUUUAACUCUAAAUUCCUUCAGAGUUCAGAUGCUCAAAGUCAUCACUCCAGCUCAAAAAAGGAAAAAAUAUUUGUUUGGGUAUUUUGAGACAGUUUAGACUGAAGAUAAAAAGUUUCGCCUGUCAAGCAUAACAUCAUUGACAAUGCC